UACGGAGGGUGCAAGCGUUAUCCGGAUUCACUGGGUUUAAUGGGUGCGUAGGUGGAUUAGUAAGUCAGUGGUGAAAUCUCCGGGCUUAACCCGGAAACUGCCAUUGAUACUAUUAGUCUUGAAUACCGUGGAGGUCAGCGGAAUAUGUCAUGUAGCGGUGAAAUGCUUAGAUAUGACAUAGAACACCAAUUGCGAAGGCAGCUGGCUACACGAGCAUUGACACUCAGGCACGAAAGCGUGGGGAUCAAACAGG
rnacentral:rRNA from 1 species